UACGAAGGGGGCUAGCGUUGCUCGGAAUGACUGGGCGUAAAGGGCGCGUAGGCGGUUUGUACAGUCAGAUGUGAAAUUCCUGGGCUCAACCUGGGGGCUGCAUUUGAUACGUAUGGACUUGAGUGGGGAAGAGGGUCGUGGAAUUCCCAGUGUAGAGGUGAAAUUCGUAGAUAUUGGGAAGAACACCGGUGGCGAAGGCGGCGACCUGGUCCUUGACUGACGCUGAGGCGCGAAAGCGUGGGGAGCAAACAGG
rnacentral:rRNA from 1 species